UUUUUUUUUUUUUUUUUUUUCAAAUUCUUGGUUUGGAUGUCAUAGAGUUACCUCUCAAGUCACCGACUUGCUAUUUUGAUUUUCGUUUCACUGAGAGAUUGGUUUCUUAUUUGUCAUAUUUUUGCUUGUGUGGUUUCGAGUUUGAUUAUUUGUGGUGCAACAGUGGAAUUUAUGACAUUUUUAGGAUUGUUGGGUUUUGUUACUUCUUAUGCUUGAAUCAAGGGAUAUAGUUCCUGUUUCUAGUUUUUAUGAAUUGCUUGUUGUUGAUGUUGUUAGUUUUUCAAUUUUUGUUUGGAUUGUUUAUGGCUUGCUUUAUGGUGCUGUUUCCCCCCUGCUGUCUAUUUAUUUUCCUAUCAAUUGAUUUCCAUUAAUUUAUUUUCCUAUCAAUUAAUUACAAUUUUUCUACAUUAAUUGUGAUAAUCUAAAUUAAGUCCACAAAUCUCAUUUAAUUGACACCAUAAUACAGAGCCACAAACGCAGGGUGUUCUCUAGUUUUCUGCUUAUAUAUAUAUAUAUACACACACACACACACACACACUUCAAGAUCAUCAUUUAAAAAAAAUUGUAGACCUGAAUUUGAAUUUUUUUUUAAUCCAUGAUACUAUUUUCUGAAUAUGCACCAUUGAUGUUUUCUUUCUUGGAUAGUGGGCAUAAUGCCACACAGUCGUAGCAAUGCCAUUGCUCAUUGCAUUUAAACUGCUUCUUUGUAUUUAUCUUGAGAGUAUUUAUGGUAUUAGAAAACACUCUGCUAUUACUUUUAUGUCAUUGAGGAUCAGUUGUAGUUGUUAACCUGAAGGUUGUCUUUAUUCCCUUGUUGGCACUUGAAAUAAUUAUUCUAAUUGACGAUUUCAGAUGUUUUAUCAGCAGGUCAUACUUUCUUGCUUAGCAUAUUAGCUUUGAGCCAUAAACAAUGUUAAGAAAGAUACUAUUCUUUGGUAUUGCUUGUUUAUUUUCCCUCGGUUUUUGCUGAAUCAAUUCAUACCAAUUUAUUGAUAUGAUAGCAAUGCUUGAAGUUCUAAAAGUAAAAUUGCUUUUACAAUCAAAAGUAAAAUUUUUUAAAAUCAAGUGUUAAUUCUUUUAAAAUUGCUCAACAAUAGUCCAAUCUAUUAGUAAACUCCAGAUUCCGCUAGUCAAUGCCAAAGAUUUUUCCUUCUCUCUCUCUGAUAUGGACAAGGAAUAGAGUAAUUGAGAUUGAAAAGAAAAUUGUAAAUAGGCAAUGUCAUUGAUAUUGAUUCAAUAAUAAAGCUUAGCUCAGAUUCAACAAAUACAGUACUCUUCUUCCUCUCAAAUACAAUCAAUACUAAGAACAAAGAAAUGAACAAGAAAAAGGCUGAUAGACAAACCCAAGAACUCAGCCCCAUGCAGAUAAUACUCUGCCUCUCUUAACCAAAGAAAAUUUCAGAUUCCAAAAGCAUGCUUUCUCCUGAAUUAAUGCUGUCUAUAUUUAUACACUUCCUUUUCCCUUUUCCAGCUGGCACUUCACAUGCUCUAGCACCCUAAUUCCAGCUAUCCAUAUUCAAACAAUCUGGACGAUCUUUUGAUCGAGAGAAAUCCAAGCGAUUAGAUAGCACAGAAUUUCACUCAACUCGCACCUAUAUUUUGCUGAAUUGCGAUGAAGUUAAACCAUACAUUAAGUCUACAAUGAACAGUGGAGUAUGCAUCAAGGGCUUUAGUUACAGUGCAAGUGAUCUUGAGUAUUAUGGUCGGCUGACAGAAAUAGUGCAAUUAGAGUACCCUGCAUUACCAGUCAAGCGAACCGUAUUAUUUAAGUGCACUUGGUUUGAUCCAACACCAAAACAUGGUACAAGAGUAUAUCCACAAUAUAAGCUUGUUGAAGUUAACAGCAAAAGGGCAUUUAACAGAUACGAGCCAUUUAUUUUGGCUACACAAGCUGCUCAAGUGUAUUAUGCAACCUAUCCUACAUGAUAGAGGACUAUGAAUGAAUGGUUUGCCGUUUGCAAAAUAAAGACACGACCUAUUGUGGAGGUUUCAGAAAUAUCACAACAAUCCAUUGAUUUAGCAUUUCAAGAAGAUUGCAAUCAAUUGCAUGAAAUUGAUUUUCACAUGGAUAAAACAGAUAGUACGCUGUAUGUGAAUGGUUCAUUCAUUGACAUAGAUGAUGUGCCAGAAAAUGAAACUGUUGAUGUAGUUGAGGAAGAAGAAGACCAAGAAGAAGAAGAAGAGGAGGAAGCAGAAGAAGAUGAUGAUGACAAUGAUGAUGAUGAUGAAGAUGAAGAUACUUAAUAAAAUUUCUUGCUUAAUUGUUUUUCAUUUACAAUUUCGAUGUAAUGACUAUUAAUUUAGUAAGUUAAAAUACAAUGAUUAUUGUAUAUGAUAUUAAUUAUUAAUGAUUUGUGUUCGAUGUGAGUUGAGAAAGAAA